GUCUUUGUGGUGUAACGGUAGCACAAUCGGCUGGUAUUCGAGAGGUCCGAGUUCGCGUCCCGGCGAGGGCA
rnacentral:tRNA from 1 species